rnacentral:rRNA from 1 species
CAAUAGCGUAUAUUAAAGUUGUUGCAGUUAAAAAGCUCGUAGUUGGAUUUGUGGCGUACGGUGUGUUCCGGGCACUUGUUGUCUGAGUAACCUGCUGUUGCCAUCCUUGGGUGGAACCUGUGUGGCAGUAGGUUGUCGUGCAGGGGAUGCCCAUCAUUUACUGUGAAACAAUUAGAGUGUUCAAAGCAGGCUUAUGCCGUUGAAUAUAUUAGCAUGGAAUAAUGAGAUAGGACUUUUUUGCUAUUUUGUUGGUUUGCGCAAAGAGGUAAUGAUUAAUAGGGACAGUUGGGGGUAUUCGUAUUCCAUUGUCAGAGGUGAAAUUCUUGGAUUUUUGGAAGACGAACUACUGCGAAAGCAUUUACCAAGGAUGUUUUCAUUAA